UGGGGAAUUUUGGACAAUGGGGGCAACCCUGAUCCAGCCAUUCCGCGUGAGUGAAGAAGGCCUUCGGGUUUAAAGCUCUUUCGCAAGGAAAGAAAACUUAGCCGAUAACACCGGCUGAGGCUGACGGUACCUUGAUAAGAAGCACCGGCUAACUACGUGCCAGCAGCCGCGGUAAUACGUAGGGUGCGAGCGUUAAUCGGAAUUACUGGGCGUAAAGCGUGCGCAGGCGGUUUUGUAAGUCAGAUGUGAAAUCCCCGGGCUCAACCUGGGAACUGCGUUUGAAACUGCAAGGCUAGAGUAUGGGAGAGGGAGGUAGAAUUCCACGUGUAGCAGUGAAAUGCGUAGAGAUGUGGAGGAAUACCAAUGGCGAAGGCAGCCUCCUGGCCUAAUACUGACGCUCAUGCACGAAAGCGUGGGGAGCAAACAG
rnacentral:rRNA from 1 species